UACGUAGGGGGCUAGCGUUGUCCGGAAUCAUUGGGCGUAAAGAGCGUGUAGGCGGUCCGGUAAGUCCGUUGUGAAAGUCGGGGGCUCAACCCUUGAAUGCCGGCGGAUACUGUCGGGCUAGAGUCCGGAAGAGGCGAGUGGAAUUCCCGGUGUAGCGGUGAAAUGCGCAGAUAUCGGGAGGAACACCUAUGGCGAAGGCAGCUCGCUGGGACGGUACUGACGCUGAGACGCGAAAGCGUGGGGAGCAAACAGG
rnacentral:rRNA from 1 species